UAUCUACACCAAAUCAAUCGCAGCCUCAAUAGCAAUGCAUGCUGGGAUUGGGCCAUGAGGGUCCGAUGCACAUCCACAAGUUUUACAUUUGGGCGGAUGAGAGAGUCAUUUAUGAGUAUGAUGAACUAUCUGUCUGAGGAUCUGGGCAGUAAUCCUGGUGUCCAUAUGAGAAUGACCUGAGAUGCUGUAUGGACUUCUGUGUCAUGCCGUGGUGAUAAUGAGAGUCUCAGCGUCCUGCAGGUACAUGAUGAGCUCGGUCUUCCACAGGGAAACUGAAUGCUAAAAGCUUUUCAACACCAACAUCUCACAGCGGUCCCAGAGAAACCAGAGGACAAAUCCUUUAUAUUUAACUGCAGUGUAUCUACAAAAGAGAAAGAUGAGGUUAUCACAUAACACACUUUAUGGCAUCACAACAGUGUUUGCAUACAGUAUGAUAACCGCUCAGUUAUUUUACAUGAUUAUAUAUUUUAUAUCCUUCUGUAAUGUUAUGCAUGUUAUCAAUGAUGUAAUAAGUUCAAGCAAUCACCAGCAGAUCUGAUUCACAUGUUGUGAAUCAAAAUGCCCAAAUUCUUUGAUUAUUGGACAAAAAUAUUUAAAACUUUGGAAGAUGCA